rnacentral:lncRNA from 1 species
CGGGGAGGCGGGGAGGUGGAUGUGGCUGAGCUUUCGAACGUCUGGGGAGCUGCCAGGUCAAGGAGAGGAUCAGAGCAAAAGGAGGCUGGAGCUGUGAGCCUGAACCAGACAGUUCACCCCCCGGGAGGGAGAUCAACUCGCUGGCACAGUGUGUGUUCACACGGAGUCCGAAGCUGCAAUCCAGCAGCAGUGGCCUGAUCCCCUUCCACGUGUGCUGCUCUCAAUGGGGGAAGACGGUCUCACGUCCCACCCACACCCCAAGUUUCCUCUUCUGCAGUGUUAACAAGCUCAGUUCCUUCUGCUGCUUCGCAUACGGCAGAGGGGUAUCUCUCCGUACAACGGAGGAAGUCUGGGGCUUGGGAACCCUCUCAUCGCUCCUCUAGAGAAGUGAGUGGUCCACACCCAGCCAUCCAAGCACGGAUGGCGCAGACGGAUCCUCUCCUAGCAGGCGGCAUAGACGUUUACACAGACACUGAGCCCAGCCUGCUGUGCCUUCUAACAACCAGUGUCUGGCAUUUGCUUCUCGGAUUCACCAACUCUCCCACCAACCCUCAGUGGGGCAAGCACGUUCUCGUCAGUCCUGCCUGUGCCCCCAGGCUUUGUUCCUAAUGCCUCACGUAAAAACUGCUCAGCUUCCUCUUGCAGCUACUUUCUCCGAAGCGAGGAAGUGUUAUUUUGGAGGUCUUAGCGCCCCCGUCCCCUCAGGCAACAUGGCACAAGGGCAGGGAUGGUCUUCAGAGUCAGAAAGACCUCGGUUUUUUGGCUCAGUUCAUUAUUAACCAUGUGACUUUGGGCAAGUGGCUCAGCCUGUCUAAGCUUCAGUUUCCAUUGAUGCUUCAGAGCCGAGAAGAGCUUAGUUAAUGGACAAUGAUAAGGUCCCCGGUGUACAGUGGGCCCGUGGGAACUGAUGGCUGUUGAUAACCAAACAAGCAGUAAUACUGCUGAUCUGCACCUCUCCUCACAGCCUUCGGUCUACUGGUUGGCUCGGAACCUCAGUUUUCCCGUCUAUUCAAUGAGGGUAACAGCAAGUAUUAUCAAUGUGGUAAUACACAAUGGGUGUAAAAGCAAUGUGAUAAACAAACAUGCAUUGCCCACAUCAGGCUCUUGAAGCCUGGGUAUAUCUUGGCCUCCUUGCCCUCCAGGGGGUCCCUACCCCUUGUAGCUGGCACAGCCGUCGCUAGGCCCUUUCUCUCCAUCCAGAGAUGCUCCUGGAAGGGGUCCCAAGUGCUUUCUAGGCAAAGAGACUCUUGAGAUGAGGUUCUCCCUUUUUGGUUGCCCAGGAUCAAAGAGUCAUUUUUCGGUCUCUUGUUUCUCCCUUGGUCUCUCUCUCUCUUGCCUGUUAAGAUUGAAUUGUGUCCCUCACUCUCUCUCCGAAAAAGAUCUGUUGUCGUCCUAGUACCCAGUCCCUGUGGAUGUGACCUCUUUGGAAAUAGGGUCUCUGCAGACUUCAUCAAGUUAAGGCAGGGUCAUCAGGAUGGGCUCUAAUCUGACACAACUGUUGCCCUGAUAAGAAGAGAGGUCGUGUGAAGAUAGACACACGGGGAGGGCACAGUGUGAAGAUGGAGGGAGAUUGGGGCUUGUCCCCACAGGCCAAGGAACAUCGGGGCUGCCAGAAGCUUCAGGAGGCAAGGAAGCAUCCCCCACCAGAGGCUUCAGAGAACUCCAAGCCUUCCCAGCUCUCCAGACUGACUCCAGACUUCUGCUCUCCAGACCCAUGAGAGAAUAAAUUCUUUGUUGUCAUUUC